rnacentral:rRNA from 1 species
UGGGGAAUAUUGGACAAUGGGCGAAAGCCUGAUCCAGCCAUGCCGCGUGUGUGAAGAAGGUCUUCGGAUUGUAAAGCACUUUAAGUUGGGAGGAAGGGCAGUAAGCGAAUACCUUGCUGUUUUGACGUUACCGACAGAAUAAGCACCGGCUAACUCUGUGCCAGCAGCCGCGGUAAUACAGAGGGUGCAAGCGUUAAUCGGAAUUACUGGGCGUAAAGCGCGCGUAGGUGGUUCGUUAAGUUGAAUGUGAAAGCCCCGGGCUCAACCUGGGAACUGAAUCCAAAACUAGCGAGGUAGGGUAGGGCAGAGGGUGGUGGAAUUGCCUGUGUAGCGGUGAAAUGCGUAGAUAUAGGAAGGAACAGCAGUGGCGAAGGCGACCACCUGGGCUCAUACUGACACUGAGGUGCGAAAGCGUGGGGAGCAAACAGG